rnacentral:rRNA from 1 species
AUUGAACGCUGGCGGCAGGCCUAACACAUGCAAGUCGAGCGAGCGGCGGACGGGUGAGUAAUGUAUGGGGACUGCCCGAUAGAGGGGGAUAACUACUGGAAACGGUAGCUAAUACCGCAUACUAUCGGAUAACCCAUAUGGGAUUAGCUAGUAGGUGAGGUAAUGGCUCACCUAGGCGACGAUCCCUGGCUGGUCUGAGAGGAUGAUCAGCCCCACUGGGACUGGGAAACGGCCCAAACUCCAAGGGGGGCAGCAGGGGGGAAUUUUUGCAAAUGGGCGAAAGCCGGAUGCAGCCAUGCCGGGGGGAUGAAGAAGGCCCUAGGGUUGUAAAGUACUUUCAGUCGGGAGGCGUUACCGACAGAAGAAGCACCGGCUAACUCCGUGCCAGCAGCCGCGGUAAUAC